GGCCUACCAUGGUUUUAACGGGUAACGGAGAAUUAGGGUUCGAUUCCGGAGAGGGAGCCUGAGAAACGGCUACCACAUCUAAGGAAGGCAGCAGGCGCGUAAAUUACCCAAUCCUGAUUCAGGGAGGUAGUGACAAGAAAUAACAACCUGGGGGACUUUGUCCUUACGGGAUUGCAAUGAGAACAAUUUAAAUGACUUAUCGAGGAACAAUUGGAGGGCAAGUCUGGUGCCAGCAGCCGCGGUAAUUCCAGCUCCAAUAGCGUAUAUUAAAGUUGUUGCAGUUAAAAAGCUCGUAGUUGAAUUUCGGGAUCAAUGUUUCGGUCAUGCCGUUGGUAUGUACUGAUAUUAUUGAUUUCUCACCUUCUAAAGAACCGUAAUGCCAUUAAUUUGGUGUCACGGGGAAUUAGGACUGUUACCUUGAAAAAAUUAGAGUGUUUAAAGCAGGCUCACGCUUGAAUACAUUAGCAUGGAAUAAUGAAAUAGGACAUCCGAUUCUAUUUUGUUGGUUUCUAGGAUCGAUGUAAUGAUUAAUAGGGAUAGUUGGGGGCAUUAGUAUUCAAUUGUCAGAGGUGAAAUUCUUGGAUUUAUUGAAGACUAACUACUGCGAAAGCAUUUGCCAAGGAUGUUUUCAUUAAUCAAGAACGAAAGUUAGGGGAUCGAAGACGAUCAGAUACCGUCGUAGUCUUAACCAUAAACUAUGCCGACUAGGGAUCGGAUGAUGUUAAUUUUUUAAUGACUCAUUCGGCGCCUUACG
rnacentral:rRNA from 1 species